rnacentral:rRNA from 1 species
ACUCAGGGAGGUAGUGACCAGAAAUAACGACGACGGGUUUCGAUUCGUCGAUUGCAAUGAGCACAAUGUAAAAUUCUUAGCGAGUACCGACUGGAGGGCAAGUCUGGUGCCAGCAGCCGCGGUAAUUCCAGCUCCAGUAGCGUAUAUUAAAGUUGUUGCAGUUAAAAAGCUCGUAGUUGGACGUCUCUGCGACACGCAGCUCCGCCACGCAACUAGAUACGUUCUUAACUGAACGGUCUAGACCCGCGGGCCCUUUACCUUGAGGAAACUAGAGUGUUUAUGGCAGGCUGAGCCUGAAUACUGCAGCUGGGAAUAAUGCGCACGACUGUCUUGGCGAGGCAGCUCCACACUUUUAAUAGGAACAGUUGGGGGCAUUCGUACUCAGCAGUCAGAGGUGAAAUUCUUGGAUUUGCUGAAGACGGACUAAUGCGAAAGCAUUUGCCAAGGAUGUUUUCAUUAAUCAAGAACGAAAGUUAAGGGAUCCAAGACGAUCAGAUACCGUCCUAGUCUUAACCAUAAACGAUGCCGACUAGGGAUCGGGAGAGACGCACAAACUCUCUCGGCACCUCACGAGAAAUCCAAGUCUUUGGGUUCUGGGGGGAGUAUGGUCGCAAGACUGAAACUUAAAGGAAUUGACGGAAGGGCACCACAAGGAGUGGAGCCUGCGGCUUAAUUUGACCAACACGGGGAAACUUACCAGGUCCAGACAUAGUGAGGAUUGGCAGAUUGACAGCUCUUUCUUGAUCCUAUGGGUGGUGGUGCAUGGCCGUUCCUAGUUGGUGGAGUGAUCUGUCUGGUUAAUUCCGAUAACGAACGAGACCUCAGCCUGCUAACUAGAUCUUCUUAGAGGGACUUCCUGCUCGCGUGGGAGGAAGUGAGGCAAUAACAGGUCUGUGAUGCCCUUAGAUGUCCUGGGCCGCACGCGCGCUACACUGACGCAACCUGCAAGUUCCAAGCCUGUCAAGGUCUGGCAAACUGCCAACUGCGUCGUAGUUGGAACUGACCCUUGCAAUUCUUGGUCACAAACCAGGAAUUCCUAGUAAGCGCAAGUCAUCAGCUUGCACUGACUAAGUCCCUGCCCUUUGUACACACCGCCCGUCGCUCCUACCGAUUCCGAGUGAUCAGGUGAACCUCUCGGACCCUGGAAGUUAAGUGAACCUUAUCACUUAGA